AGAAGGUGUCUUCUCUGGGAUCCGGGUACGAAUUCUUAGUUCUAAUGUCUUCUGAGAUAGGCAACCCAUCUGUGAUGAGUGGUACCCACAGAAGCCAGAAGAGGAAGCCGGAUCUCCUGGAGUAAGAGUUACAGUAGUUGUGAGCCACCAGUGUUGGUGCUGGGAACAGAACUCCUCAUCCUCCGCAAGGACAGCAAGCCCUACUGUGUGAGGACAGCAAGCCCUACUGUGUGAGAGCAGCAAGCCCUACUGUGUGAGGACAGCAAGCCCUACUGUGUGAGAGCAGCAAGCCCUACUGUGUGAGGACAGCAAGCCCUCCUGUGUGAGGGCAGCAAGCCCUCCUGUGUGAGCGCAGCAAGCCCUCCUGUGUGAGCGCAGCAAGCCCUACUGUGUGAGAAGCCAUCUCUUCGUCCUCUGAGGAGACUGAGAUGGAAAACAGUGAGCAGUCUCUGCUGAUGGAAAUGCAGCAGCCAAACAUUCAGUAGAAGGUGGAUGACGUUAUGCCAAUUCGGUUACUGUGAAAUACCCGUCAGUAUCGUGAGGGCUCCCGUCAAGAUCACAGACCGUACCCCACAGUUGAAAGAAAGGAAUGCUAUUCCAACAGGAGGAGAACAGAACUAAAAUAAAACCCUGAGGAUCAGCAGCACCAAUUUCCAGCAAAUUACCAAGAAACGGGAGGAUACAGCUCCCUCCAGUGUGCACAGCCAGACCUGCCUAGUGCCUGGCCCUGACCCUCAGCCCUCCUCUGGCAAACAGGAACCUGAGCAAAUAAACCAACUGGGGAGGGGGAAAAAUCCAUUUCCAAGCUAGGCUAUGUGAUCACUCAUUCAAGCUGUGAAGAGAAUAGUGAGAAAAAUGUUCCUGUCUUAUGGUGCCCAUCCUGGCUACCCACAAGGCAUGCCUGAAA